GGGUUGUGAGGUUAAGCGACUAAGCGUACACGGUGGAUGCCCUGGCAGUCAGAGGCGAUGAAGGACGUGCUAAUCUGCGAUAAGCGUCGGUAAGGUGAUAUGAACCGUUAUAACCGGCGAUUUCCGAAUGGGGAAACCCAGUGUGUUUCGACACACUAUCAUUAACUGAAUCCAUAGGUUAAUGAGGCGAACCGGGGGAACUGAAACAUCUAAGUACCCCGAGGAAAAGAAAUCAACCGAGAUUCCCCCAGUAGCGGCGAGCGAACGGGGAGCAGCCCAGAGCCUGAAUCAGUGUGUGUGUUAGUGGAAGCGUCUGGAAAGGCGCGCGAUACAGGGUGACAGCCCCGUACACAAAAAUGCACAUACUGUGAGCUCGAUGAGUAGGGCGGGACACGUGGUAUCCUGUCUGAAUAUGGGGGGACCAUCCUCCAAGGCUAAAUACUCCUGACUGACCGAUAGUGAACCAGUACCGUGAGGGAAAGGCGAAAAGAACCCCGGCGAGGGGAGUGAAAAAGAACCUGAAACCGUGUACGUACAAGCAGUGGGAGCCUCUUAAUGGGGUGACUGCGUACCUUUUGUAUAAUGGGUCAGCGACUUAUAUUCUGUAGCAAGGUUAACCGAAUAGGGGAGCCGAAGGGAAACCGAGUCUUAACUGGGCGUUAAGUUGCAGGGUAUAGACCCGAAACCCGGUGAUCUAGCCAUGGGCAGGUUGAAGGUUGGGUAACACUAACUGGAGGACCGAACCGACUAAUGUUGAAAAAUUAGCGGAUGACUUGUGGCUGGGGGUGAAAGGCCAAUCAAACCGGGAGAUAGCUGGUUCUCCCCGAAAGCUAUUUAGGUAGCGCCUCGUGAAUUCAUCUCCGGGGGUAGAGCACUGUUUCGGCAAGGGGGUCAUCCCGACUUACCAACCCGAUGCAAACUGCGAAUACCGGAGAAUGUUAUCACGGGAGACACACGGCGGGUGCUAACGUCCGUCGUGAAGAGGGAAACAACCCAGACCGCCAGCUAAGGUCCCAAAGUCAUGGUUAAGUGGGAAACGAUGUGGGAAGGCCCAGACAGCCAGGAUGUUGGCUUAGAAGCAGCCAUCAUUUAAAGAAAGCGUAAUAGCUCACUGGUCGAGUCGGCCUGCGCGGAAGAUGUAACGGGGCUAAACCAUGCACCGAAGCUGCGGCAGCGACGUUUAUGCGUUGUUGGGUAGGGGAGCGUUCUGUAAGCCUGCGAAGGUGUACUGUGAGGUAUGCUGGAGGUAUCAGAAGUGCGAAUGCUGACAUAAGUAACGAUAAAGCGGGUGAAAAGCCCGCUCGCCGGAAGACCAAGGGUUCCUGUCCAACGUUAAUCGGGGCAGGGUGAGUCGACCCCUAAGGCGAGGCCGAAAGGCGUAGUCGAUGGGAAACAGGUUAAUAUUCCUGUACUUGGUGUUACUGCGAAGGGGGGACGGAGAAGGCUAUGUUGGCCGGGCGACGGUUGUCCCGGUUUAAGCGUGUAGGCUGGUUUUCCAGGCAAAUCCGGAAAAUCAAGGCUGAGGCGUGAUGACGAGGCACUACGGUGCUGAAGCAACAAAUGCCCUGCUUCCAGGAAAAGCCUCUAAGCAUCAGGUAACAUCAAAUCGUACCCCAAACCGACACAGGUGGUCAGGUAGAGAAUACCAAGGCGCUUGAGAGAACUCGGGUGAAGGAACUAGGCAAAAUGGUGCCGUAACUUCGGGAGAAGGCACGCUGAUAUGUAGGUGAAGUCCCUCGCGGAUGGAGCUGAAAUCAGUCGAAGAUACCAGCUGGCUGCAACUGUUUAUUAAAAACACAGCACUGUGCAAACACGAAAGUGGACGUAUACGGUGUGACGCCUGCCCGGUGCCGGAAGGUUAAUUGAUGGGGUUAGCGGUAACGCGAAGCUCUUGAUCGAAGCCCCGGUAAACGGCGGCCGUAACUAUAACGGUCCUAAGGUAGCGAAAUUCCUUGUCGGGUAAGUUCCGACCUGCACGAAUGGCGUAAUGAUGGCCAGGCUGUCUCCACCCGAGACUCAGUGAAAUUGAACUCGCUGUGAAGAUGCAGUGUACCCGCGGCAAGACGGAAAGACCCCGUGAACCUUUACUAUAGCUUGACACUGAACAUUGAGCCUUGAUGUGUAGGAUAGGUGGGAGGCUUUGAAGUGUGGACGCCAGUCUGCAUGGAGCCGGCCUUGAAAUACCACCCUUUAAUGUUUGAUGUUCUAACGUUGGCCCCUGAUCGGGGUUGCGGACAGUGUCUGGUGGGUAGUUUGACUGGGGCGGUCUCCUCCUAAAGAGUAACGGAGGAGCACGAAGGUUGGCUAAUCCUGGUCGGACAUCAGGAGGUUAGUGCAAUGGCAUAAGCCAGCUUGACUGCGAGCGUGACGGCGCGAGCAGGUGCGAAAGCAGGUCAUAGUGAUCCGGUGGUUCUGAAUGGAAGGGCCAUCGCUCAACGGAUAAAAGGUACUCCGGGGAUAACAGGCUGAUACCGCCCAAGAGUUCAUAUCGACGGCGGUGUUUGGCACCUCGAUGUCGGCUCAUCACAUCCUGGGGCUGAAGUAGGUCCCAAGGGUAUGGCUGUUCGCCAUUUAAAGUGGUACGCGAGCUGGGUUUAGAACGUCGUGAGACAGUUCGGUCCCUAUCUGCCGUGGGCGCUGGAGAACUGAGGGGGGCUGCUCCUAGUACGAGAGGACCGGAGUGGACGCAUCACUGGUGUUCGGGUUGUCAUGCCAAUGGCACUGCCCGGUAGCUAAAUGCGGAAGAGAUAAGUGCUGAAAGCAUCUAAGCACGAAACUUGCCCCGAGAUGAGUUCUCCCUGACUCCUUGAGAGUCCUGAAGGAACGUUGAAGACGACGACGUUGAUAGGCCGGGUGUGUAAGCGCAGCGAUGCGUUGAGCUAACCGGUACUAAUGAACCGUGAGGCUUAACCUUACAACGCCGAAG
rnacentral:rRNA from 1 species